rnacentral:rRNA from 1 species
UGGGCAACCUGCCCUCAGCUCUGGGAUAACUCCAAGAAAUUGGGGCUAAUACCGGAUGUGACCGCUGACCGCAUGGUCUGGUGGUGGAAAGAUUUAUCGGCUGGGGAUGGGCCCGCGGCCUAUCAGCUUGUUGGUGGGGUAGUGGCCUACCAAGGCGACGACGGGUAGCCGGCCUGAGAGGGUGUCCGGCCACACUGGGACUGGGACACGGCCCAGACUCCUACGGGAG